GACGUAGGGCGCGAGCGUUGUCCGGAUUUAUUGGGCGUAAAGAGCUCGUAGGCGGUCUGUCGCGUCGGAAGUGAAAAUCCAGGGCUCAACCCUGGACCUGCAUUCGAUACGGGCAGACUAGAGUUCGGCAGGGGAGACUGGAAUUCCUGGUGUAGCGGUGAAAUGCGCAGAUAUCAGGAGGAACACCGGUGGCGAAGGCGGGUCUCUGGGCCGAAACUGACGCUGAGGAGCGAAAGCGUGGGGAGCAAACAGG
rnacentral:rRNA from 1 species